GAUGAACGCUGGCGGCGUGCCUAAUACAUGCAAGUCGAGCGAACAGACGAGGAGCUUGCUCCUUCGACGUUAGAGGCGGACGGGUGAGUAACACGUAGGUAACCUACCUAUAAGACUGGGAUAACUUCGGGAAACCGGAGCUAAUACCGGAUAAUAUUUCGAACCGCAUGGUUCGAUAGUGAAAGAUGGCUUUGCUAUCACUUAUAGAUGGACCUGCGCCGUAUUAGCUAGUUGGUAAGGUAACGGCUUACCAAGGCAACGAUACGUAGCCGACCUGAGAGGGUGAUCGGCCACACUGGAACUGAGACACGGUCCAGACUCCUACGGGAGGCAGCAGUAGGGAAUCUUCCGCAAUGGGCGAAAGCCUGACGGAGCAACGCCGCGUGAGUGAUGAAGGUCUUCGGAUCGUAAAACUCUGUUAUUAGGGAAGAACAAACGUGUAAGUAACUGUGCACGUCUUGACGGUACCUAAUCAGAAAGCCACGGCUAACUACGUG
rnacentral:rRNA from 1 species